UGAGUAAGUCAGAUGGUCGCGGGCAUUACUGCUCGAGGAAAGUCCGAGCUCCAUAGGGCAAGGUGCUGGGUAACGCCCAGUGAGGGUGACCUCAAGGACAGUGCAACAGAAAUAUACCGCUUGGCAUUUUUGGUAACGGUUUUAACCGUUCUUGCUGUAAGGCAGAUUGCCAAGUAAGGGUGGAAAGGUGAGGUAAGAGCUCACCAGCGAGAUGGUGACUUCUCGGCUCUGUAAACCCCACUUGGAGCAAGACCAAAUAGGAGAGCUUAAACGGCGGCCCGCUGUGCUCUCGGGUAUGGUCGCUAGAGGUGUCAGGCAACUGGCAUCCUAGAUAGAUGACUAUCUAAAACAGAACUCGGCUUAUAGACUUACUCAUUUA
rnacentral:RNase_P_RNA from 2 species